rnacentral:rRNA from 1 species
AGAGUUUGAUCCUGGCUCAGGACGAACGCUGGCGGCGUGCUUAACACAUGCAAGUCGAACGGAAAGGCCCUUCGGGGUACUCGAGUGGCGAACGGGUGAGUAACACGUGGGUGAUCUGCCCUGCACUCUGGGAUAAGCCUGGGAAACUGGGUCUAAUACCGGAUAGGACCGCAUGCUUCAUGGUGUGUGGUGCAAAGCUUUUGCGGUGUGGGAUGAGCCCGCGGCCUAUCAGCUUGUUGGUGGGGUAAUGGCCUACCAAGGCGACGACGGGUAGCCGGCCUGAGAGGGUGACCGGCCACACUGGGACUGAGAUACGGCCCAGACUCCUACGGGAGGCAGCAGUGGGGAAUAUUGCACAAUGGGCGCAAGCCUGAUGCAGCGACGCCGCGUGAGGGAUGACGGCCUUCGGGUUGUAAACCUCUUUCAGCACAGACGAAGCGCGAGUGACGGUAUGUGCAGAAGAAGGACCGGCCAACUACGUGCCAGCAGCCGCGGUAAUACGUAGGGUCCGAGCGUUGUCCGGAAUUACUGGGCGUAAAGAGCUCGUAGGUGGUUUGUCGCGUUGUUCGUGAAAACUCACAGCUUAACUGUGGGCGUGCGGGCGAUACGGGCAGACUAGAGUACUGCAGGGGAGACUGGAAUUCCUGGUGUAGCGGUGGAAUGCGCAGAUAUCAGGAGGAACACCGGUGGCGAAGGCGGGUCUCUGGGCAGUAACUGACGCUGAGGAGCGAAAGCGUGGGUAGCGAACAGGAUUAGAUACCCCGGUAGUCCAA